GCUUUGGCAUAGUAGACUGGCCACAGGGUGAGCUUAACAAAUUAGAUACUAAAACUAGGAAGAUGCUCACCCUACAUAAAAUUACAUACAGAAACCAAUGCAUGGAUAGAAUAUAUCUCCCUCGUCGAGAAGGCGGCUUAGGUCUUAUGGAGAUCAACCAGACUUAUAGAGCAUCUAUAAUAAGUAUUGGGCAGUACUUAAAGAGCUCUCAAGAAGAAGUUAUGAAAAAGGUUAUGCAACAUCAUAUUAAGACUAUGCCACAACAGACCCCUAUUAUUAAAUUGGCAGAAAACUUUGGAGAUCUUUUGCAAGAGAGAGAAAGCAAUGAUCUGACACCUGCAACAACACUAGCAAGACAGGCCAGGGAAAAAUACAGCAAAAGAGAACAAAAACAUCGAAUGAACAGAUGGAAACAGCACAAAAGGGCUGGCCGAUUCCAAGAAGAACUCGAAAAGGAAUACAUAGACAAAGAAGGAUCUAUGCGGUGGCUUACAAAUGGAGAACUUAGUUUUGAUGGAGAAAUAAUUAUAGUUGGAGCGCAAGAUCAGGGACUACUAACAAAUGGCUUCAAAAAAAUGGCAGGAAUUUCACA